rnacentral:rRNA from 1 species
GUGGGGAAUCUUGCGCAAUGGGCGAAAGCCUGACGCAGCCAUGCCGCGUGGAUGAUGAAGGUCUUAGGAUUGUAAAAUCCUUUCACCGGUGAAGAUAAUGACUGUAGCCGGAGAAGAAGCCCCGGCUAACUUCGUGCCAGCAGCCGCGGUAAUACGAAGGGGGCUAGCGUUGCUCGGAUUUACUGGGCGUAAAGGGCGCGUAGGCGGACAUUUAAGUCAGGGGUGAAAUCCCGGGGCUCAACCUCGGAACUGCCUUUGAUACUGGGUGUCUUGAGUAUGAGAGAGGUGUGUGGAACUCCGAGUGUAGAGGUGAAAUUCGUAGAUAUUCGGAAGAACACCAGUGGCGAAGGCGACACACUGGCUCAUUACUGACGCUGAGGCGCGAAAGCGUGGGGAGCAAACAGGAUUAGAAACCCCGGUAGUCC